GGGGAGUGAGGGCAGGGGGGCUGGGCCUCCACCCAACAAAUGCGAGUAUUUUGGAGCCCUCAGUUCUGGUUUCCACACGAAGCGAUGUGCUGCUCUGCUGUUUUCCCCGGGGACCCAGAGGCAGAUGGAGACAAACAGCAGGGGACAGGCGACAGCAACAUGAUUUCAACAUGGAUGGGAGAAAGAGGCCCCAAGGUGUAAUGGGGAAGAACAAGAAACUACUGGAAAUUCUGCCCUGGAAGAAUCUGAUGUAUGUAAA
rnacentral:lncRNA from 1 species